CAAAAAAAAAAAAAAAAAAAAAAGCCACUUUUCUCCAGAGUUUAUGCCAUUUUUGCUUGUUUGUUUUAACUGGCAGGCCGGGGAUUAAAAUCUACAAUAUGGAGUAAUGUAGGUUUAGGGUAGGUAUUAGGAUUUGUUGAGGGCUAGUAGCGAG